GCCGGUGGCCAUAGUGGAGAGGUAAUACCCGUUCCCAUUCCGAACACGGAAGUCAAGCUCUCUAACGUCGAUGAUACUGCUCACAAGCGGGAAAGUAGAAAGCUGCCGGCU
rnacentral:rRNA from 1 species